rnacentral:rRNA from 1 species
GACGAACGCUGGCGGCGUGCUUAACACAUGCAAGUCGAACGUGAUUUUUAUGGAAAUUCUUUCGGGAAUGGAAAUGAAAUGAAAGUGGCGAACGGGUGAGUAACACGUGAGCAACCUACCUUACACAGGGGGAUAGCCGUUGGAAACGACGAUUAAUACCGCAUGAGACCACAGAAUCGCAUGAUAUAGGGGUCAAAGAUUUAUCGGUGUAAGAAGGGCUCGCGUCUGAUUAGCUAGUUGGAAGGGUAAAGGCCUACCAAGGCGACGAUCAGUAGCCGGUCUGAGAGGAUGAACGGCCCUCAUUGGAACUGAGACACGGUCCAAACUCCUACGGGAGGCAGCAGUGGGGAAUAUUGCACAAUGGGGGGAACCCUGAUGCAGCGACGCCGCGUGAGCGAAGAAGGUUUUCGAAUCGUAAAGCUCUGUCCUAUGAGAAGAUAAUGACGGUAU